UGGACAAAUGUUAAAAAAAAUAAAUAAAUUUAGAUUGCUUAUGAAGUUAUUCAAAUUAUUGAGCUGGGACUGCGUUUUCAUCGAGAAUUUGUUUCUUGGUCUGUGAUGUACAAAGUAAGAUUGUAUGGAGUAAACAGUGAUAAGGACAGCAUUUUUGUAUAUGGAUUAUCUAAAAGUGGUUCUGAUUGGAAAAUUUUUCAUUUCUUGAAUGCAUAUAUUGACUUUCUAUACAUUCUGCACAUUGCAUAACAGAAAUUUUAGAAAAAGUUAAGUUUGCAUGGACUUAUGACAACCGUGGUAUUUUUUUAUGGACAGUAUCAAAAUCAGCAAGAAGGAACUGACGUAUAGAAUUUUUAUGUAGAAUAAUUACAGCAUAUCGAUGGAAUUUAUUCAUCAGGAGACUAUCGAUGGUGUGACAGUUAGUUCGACACAUGUUGUCUCGUGGAUGAGCAAGUAUCAAAUGUUGGCGUUUAUCUGGAAAAUUAAUAAUAACGAAUUGAGAAUCAAACUUGUUGGCUGUAUAUAAAUGGUUUCGAUCGUUUGGCAGAAGAGAACGUGUCUGAAAUAGUCUAUACAAAUGCCAACACUGUGGAAUUAAUUCGACGAGUAAUCAAUGCAUCUAAAAUUUACUAUGAUUAUCACAUUAUACUGUUAAUGUUAGAUUAUUUGAUAUUUUAGCUAUAAAAAGAAACGUAAUUAUAAAAUAAUUUUAUUUAUCACA